UUCCCACAGAACCAAAAAGAGGGAGGAAAGAAGGAGAGAGACCUAAUUCCCUUUACCUUAUCCUCCUCUCGAGCUCUCGUUCCCUUGCCCUCUUUCUGCUUCUCGCUCUCUCCAUGCCCCAGUAAACGUCCCCAUCAUGUCUUCUCGAUCCGCUAAUGCUUCGCGCCGCCCUCUCCCUCACUCCCUCUUCCUCCUGCCCAUCUCCCAAUCUCCGUGGUUCCUCUGGCGACCGAUGAUCCCCACUCUUGAAACGCUCCUGCAGCUACGGUGUCGCGCGGGCGGCCGUUCUCCUUGUCUGGCCCCGGAGUUCUUGGAGGCCGGCCUCCUCGCCGCCGUCAUGCUCGCUCGAUGCACGUGAUUGGAAAGGUCGGUCGGUUAGAUCGGCCACCGAAAAGAAGAAGAAGAAGAAGACGAAGAAGAAGAAGAAGAUGGAAACAGUCUACUGUGUGUAAAGAUAGAAAAGAAGGCGAGAAAGAACACUGGAGCAGAACCAAUGGACCUGCUUCAGCUGCCUGAAGAAGAUGGAGGAAACUGGCUGGAACCCAUCCAUGAUGUCUCCGGAAUAUCCGACACUCCACUCCAGUUCGUCUGCUGCUCCGUCGUGCUCGAAGCAUAGAAUGGAGAGUACGGAGUUGAUGAUGAAGAUACAACGGAGGAGUAGGUAGGGAUGGAGGGAGCAGGUAAAGAACUGCCGUCGUUCACAGUCGAACACAUGGGCGAAGCGUAAUUGGAGUACAUGUACUGAUCCAAGAGACUCGUCGGAGGGAUCCUCGGGUGCUCCUCGCCCCCCUGCAACAGCCUCGUGUACGCCAAGUAAUCGGUUAUGGUAUCCGACGUGGUGGCAGGGGAAUUGGACGUCGCAAGCGGGACGGAGAGCGACGGCUGCAGUCGGACGUUCUCCGGGAAAUUGAGUUUGGCUCUUCUGCCACGGAAGCGGAGGGCGGCUGCGUCGUACGCCCGCGCUGCCUCCUCGGCAGUCUCGAACGUGCCCAGCCACACCCGCGCCGCCUUGUGGGGAUCCCGGAUCUCCGCCGCCCAUUUUCCCCACGGCCGCUGGCGGACUCCGCGGUACUUCCUUCUCGGCUCGCUUCUCUCCGCCUCUUCCGGGUUGGAGGAAGCAGGGGAGGGCUCUUCCAUGGCUGCUGCAGGAACAGGGUAUCCUAGUAUUGGCAGAGGGCCUCCUUGUGGAUACUGCUCUGUUACUAUACGAGUACCACAGCACAAAGAACAGAAGGAGUCACCACCGCCAUGCAGAUGUUAGUCCAAAUAUAUAUCGUAUGCAGAGGAUGUUUGGAUAAAGUAGAAUGAAUGUGCACGAAUGAACUCAAGAUGAUCACAUGAAAUAACAAGCAAAUCACCUGCAACGUCUGGUGAUGCGUCGCCUCGGUAGCGUGCGAACUCGCCAAGGCCUUGAUGGUGCCUCAACGCCAAGUCAGGCGGCGACGGCACCCGUCUCGUCCGGUUCUGACUGCUUGCGCCGCCACCUUGACCGCCCAGAGACGGGGACGAGUACGAAGAAGAGAUGCAGGACAGCGAAGAUGAGGAGGAGGAGGAGGAGGAAGACGAGGAAGAGACGACCGACACGGAGUCCACCGCCAUCCCAACCGGCCGCGGCCUGCGCUCGGAAGCCAUGACAUGCGCCAGCGCUGACACUAUGGUGGAUAUCUCCUGCGCCCGAUGGUAACUCGAAAGCGGUGCGCCAUCACUCGCCUCGGCGGCGAAGCUGUCGUCGGGCAGCUGGUGUGGGUUCGCCACGUUGUGACACAUGCGUGAAGCUACUCCUCGAGCGCCUCCUCCUGCUUCUUCUUCUUCUUCUUCGAGGGUACGGUGGCGGAUCUUAAGCUAUAUAAAGAGAAGCAGGCAUUGGUUUGGAACGGACGUGUCUCCAAGGGCGCUGCGGCAGUGCAUGGCCAUGUUUUUUACCGAGACUCCCCAGUUUUCAUAGUGACAGUGGAUCUGCUCGGGGAUGUGAUCGAAGAAAGGAAGUGUGAAAGAAAGGAAUAUGCCCUACACACGCCUUUGACCAGUUACGUUGGAUCCGACGGGAAUGAUGGGGAGAGGAGAAUUAGGAUCAGGCUUGUGUUGCCGACAUGGUUGGUCAACAGUGAGAUGAGACCGAGGUUCCAGCCGACUACUACUGCUUCGGAUGCGCUCUUGUUCGUCUCCCGGUAUCUGUUACGCUUUCUGAGCGUUGCAGAAAGCAACACGGCAGCCGAGAGAGAGAGAGAGAGAGAGAGAGAGAGAGAGAGAGAGAGAUGAUGGGGUCUAACUCAGGAAUAAAUGAAGCGUGUCCGACCCAUCUUCACUCUUAAGUGUUUUCCUUAAUCCUCACGUGCUAAACCUAACAUUAAGCUUAACCGAAUCUUCGCUGCCCGCCAGAAUUUAUGAUUUGAUAGC